rnacentral:lncRNA from 1 species
GCGUCGUCCCAGACACCCGAUGUUACAAGACCGUUAUAAAAAGUCUCAUUUUCACUGUUCUUCGUGCCUCUAAGUCCAUUCUUUGGGUUUGAACGGGUGAGUGUGUUUCUCACAACCUGAGGGCCCGUUCGGGAUCUCUGUGCCUACGUGGAGUGGGACUCCGGCUGAGAGAAGAGACAUGUCCCACCCGAUUUUUGUGCCCCACUCUGUCUGGGUGUCCUGGCUCCCCACAGAAGCCAUAGAUAAACCCGAGACUGUUAUUCAGGAGACGGUGGAGGUGACGCAGGGAGAAAAGCAGGCACUGCGGCAAACAGGCAACCUCGUGCACCAGCCAAGGUUGGGUAUUUCCUUCAGCCUAUUAAAGGAAUUGGGAACCUGUGGUACCGGAGAAAUAGCCUGCAGACCAGAGAAUAAGGAAAAGUUGUUUCCUGCCAAAGAACAAGCAGUAUUGUGAAAUAUAAAAUUUUAUUGUUGCGGUGAAAGAAAAUUUCAGUAUCAAAUUUUUGAAAACACCAUGUAAGAGAUGCCUGCUUUCCCUUCACCUUCCGGCAUGAUUGUAAGUUUCCUGAGGCCUCUCCAGACAUGCUUCCUGUACAGCCUGUAGAACUAUUCUGACACCUCCACUUCACACAAAACACUCCACUUUAGAGUUCCUUGGCCCCUUAAAGAAGUGCCUGCUUCUCCUUUGCCUUCCACCAUGAUGUUAAGUUUCCUGAAGCCUCCCCACCAAAGCAGAACU